rnacentral:rRNA from 1 species
AUACGGAGGGUGCAAGCGUUGUCUGGAUUUAUUGGGUUUAAAGGGUGCGUAGGCGGAUAAUUAAGUCAGUGGUGAAAGACUGCAGCUCAACUGUAGAGGUGCCAUUGAUACUGAUUAUCUUGAGUACAGUUGAGGUAGGCGGAAUUUAUGGUGUAGCGGUGAAAUGCAUAGAUACCAUAAAGAACACCGAUAGCGAAGGCAGCUUACUGGACUGUAACUGACGCUGAGGCACGAAAGCGUGGGGAGCGAACGGGAUUAGAAACCCGAGUAGUCC